rnacentral:rRNA from 1 species
UGUGUCACACGGGACUGCCGGUCGUUAAGCCGGAGGAAGGUGGGAUGAUGUCAAGUCAGCAUGGCCUUUAUAUCCUGGGCUACACACACGCUACAAUGGCCAACACAAUAGGUUGCUAAGCCGCGAGGUGGCGCCAAUCCAUAAAGUUGGUCUCAGUUCAGAUUGUAGGCUGCAACCCGCCUGCAUGAAGAUGGAGUUGCUAGUAACCGCAGGUCAGCUAUACUGCGGUGAAUACGUUCCCGGGGCUU